UGUAAACCUUACUCGUGCCGCUCUUUGUUUUAGCAAACAAAGGUCCUGCAAAAUCUACGCCUGAGUUUUCAAAUGGUGCUGCUCUAUUGACGCGAAAUUCUGGUAACGCCGCUUGCUGUGGCUUUGCACAUGCCUUGCUAUUCCAUCGUUUACAUAUUAGACAUGUAUUUAUUGCUCGUUUCACCUCUUGUCUGCCCUUCGCUAUCCAAUACUUUGACCUGAGCUGAGCUAACGUUGACCUAACUCCACUAUGCAUAACUGACUCGUGACACUGUCCUAUGACUAACUCUGUGAACUUAUGCUUUCUGGGCAGAACUAUCGGCUCUCUUGCUUCGGUAUCUAACUCAGAACUGCCUAAUCUUCCUGUACAGUGAAGUACCUCGUCUUUUUCUACCAAACCAUACUGUCUCUCCAACUGCUUAUACCCUUGCUGAUCUUUUAAAACUAGCUGCGUUGCCUUAACCCAUACUAACUCUGCACUUUUCAAUUCACUCGCUUCCAACGCUCCACUAACUCCCUCUUUGCCUAACUUUUUUCGCUUUAAAUUGCUUAUAAAUCGCUUCACCCAUGCUGUCACUCUCAGCAGCCUUUUGAGGCAACUGAACCUUUCUAAACUGAUCAAAUUGCAAAUGCCAAACAAUGAAUCUGUAUUGAUCAACAAAUUGACACUAAAAGAUUUCUUCUGUUCCACUUUACUUUCUAAAGUUGGAACUGCUGUUACCAAACUCGGCCAGUCAGUAGGAUUACCCUUCAGCCAUGACGGCCCUGACCACCAAAGAUCACUAUUUUUAAGUUCUGUUAUUAAAACCCCUCUCGACCCUAAAUCUGCGGGAUUUUCUAUACCUGGGCAAUGGCCCCAGUCUCUCUUCGAACUUAUUCUCAAAAUCUCGUCCACUCUGUGUUGAACGAACUGCUUCCAGCUACCUGUAUUACUUAUCCAACACAAUACAGUCUUACUGUCAGUCCAGUAUCUCACGCCUUCAAACUUGUAUUCUACUUCUAGCGCUUGUCUAACUGCAUCCAUUAAUUGCGCUAAAAUCCUAGCUGCCAUUAACUCUAGUCUGGGUAUACUAAGCUCUUUAAUCGGAGACACUCUAGUCUUGCUGGCUACUAACUUAACUUGUGCCUUGUCGUUCACUAUGGUUACAAGAUAAAUAACCGCACAAUAUGCUCGUUUUGAUGCAUCACCAAACCCAUGUAACCAAUACUUUGCUCCGCUUGACUGCCCUAAACUAUUGUCUGAUACGCUCGCAUAUCUCUCAACUGUCACCCAUUUUGCCUCACUAAAAUCCUUCAACCAUUUCUC